AGGGCUGUAGCUCAGUUGUAGAGCAUCUGUUUUGCAUACAGAAGGUCCCAAGUUUGAUAUCUGACAACUCCG